CAUAAGAAGGUGAAGGGUUUAAAGUCCCUCUCUUGCCCAUUUGAUGGAUUUUCUCUUAUGACGUGUAGGAGUACCGACUGUAAUAUUUUCUAUGAAGAUGAACAGCGAAUGAAAAAUUAUAUAUACUAUAUAUUUUAAAUUUAAAUCAGAUUAUGCAUGUACUUUUAUAUCUUUUAGAUCAUUAAAUAUUAUAUAUGAUAUAUUGUUUUGACACACGAUCUAAAAUUUAAUUUCUGUAAAACCCUAGAUCCUGUUUGCAUGAACCAUGAAAUUGUGACUGGUAUACCUGUG
rnacentral:lncRNA from 1 species